GCCCGGCUAGCUCAGUCGGUACAGCAUGAGAAUCUUAAUCUCAGGUUUGUGGGAUCGAGCCCCACAUUGGGCG